GACGAACGCUGGCGGCGUGCUUAACACAUGCAAGUCGAACGCUGAAGCUUGGUGCUUGCCCUGGGCGGCUGAGUGGCGAACGGGUGAGUAAUAAGUGAGUAACCUGCCCUUGACUCUGGGAUAAGCCUGGGAAACUGGGUCUAAUACUGGAUACGACAUGUCACCGCAUGGUGGUGUGUGGAAAGGGUUUUACUGGUUUUGGAUGGGCUCACGGCCUAUCAGCUUGUUGGUGGGGUAAUGGCUCACCAAGGCGACGACGGGUAGCCGGCCUGAGAGGGUGACCGGCCACACUGGGACUGAGACACGGCCCAGACUCCUACGGGAGGCAGCAGUGGGGAAUAUUGCACAAUGGGCGGAAGCCUGAUGCAGCGACGCCGCGUGAGGGAUGACGGCCUUCGGGUUGUAAACCUCUUUCAGCACGGAAGAAGCGAAAGUGACGGUACGUGCAGAAGAAGCGCCGGCUAACUACGUG
rnacentral:rRNA from 1 species